GUACUCAUUUUGGCAGCACAUAUACUAAAAUUGAAAACAUCGAGAAAAUUAACAACAAGCUCCUAUGCAAUGAUGAUACAGAAGUUCAUGAAGCAUUCCAUAUUUUA